GAUAUCAGCUCGGUUUACUUCAUUGUCGUGAGUAGGCAUCAACUCAACGUAACGUCGAGUUAAAGUAACUCCAUUUGCGGAAGUGAAGCUCCGAAGACUCCAAAACGGCGACUCGCGGAGUGAAGACAUCUUACGAAACGGAUAGGCCUAUAGAAAACACGCACCUUGCAGCGGAAAUGUACGGCAUUCCGGGGAUGCCCGAUCUUCUGCCGCCGAUAGGCUCUCUACAACCGAGUACCAUGGUCCUGUCCAACCACCUGAAUGGCCGUGCAGAUCAGAAUGCACCUCACCGCCAUCCGACUCAACAGAGGAAUGUUCAGCGGGCGCCCAAACUGGGGCAGAUUGGACGUUCAAAGAGAGUUGACCUGGGGGAUGAAGAUUUGGACAUCAUAAUGAACAACAACAACAGACGGUUCCCAAUUUCCAUGGAGGUGUCACCUGUUGCCUAAACGUGAAUGACUGUGCCAAAUCUUCCCAGAAGCCUUUAUCUUGUUAAAAAGGAGCCAAGCCUUGAUCCAUGGUCGUCGUUCAUCUCACUCACAUACUCCAUGGUAAAAUAAUCUAUUAUCGUCAUUAUCAGGGGAUGUAAGGCCAUUCGCUGUUACCACUUCACCGUUGUCUUCAUGUAAUUCACUUUAAAUACAACCACUUGGCUGCGGCAUGAGAUGGAAUGGCUUAUAUCUGAUCUGCAUUUCAAAAAAGAUGGUAUGGAGCGUCAGGGCUUUUAUCUUUUUUUUCUUUCGCACUUUACAAAAUACACGGAAGGGUCAUUCUCAACCGCACUGUCAGGGUUGCAUAUAGGCUAGGAGGUGACCAUCAUCGUGAUUCUGUUACUCAUUUAACAAGUUGGAUAUUAAUCUUUUAGUUUUCCUAACGUGUAAACUAGUUGCGGAGAGGUUCUCAAAAAAAGUUCUGGAAGAUUCUUUCUUUUGUAUCAGGUUCAUAAAGGUCACUUUAUAUGGAUAAUUCUUUCAGUAUGAUAAUGAAGUUUUUUUUUUUUUUUUUUAAACUAAUGUGCUCUCAAAGUAGUUGUCUGGUGACAUGAUUUGUGUCUGUAGUGUAUGUAUGAUGCAUUUUGACCUUUUUCAUGAAUCUUUGAAAUAUUUUUGCAUGGAAUAAUUUACAUUGUUUUGUAAAGUGCAAUUUUUGGAAAUAAACUAUGCAUGACUGUUGACA
rnacentral:lncRNA from 1 species